ensembl:snRNA
GGCGUGCAUGAAAGGAGAGAAGGUUAGCACUUCCCCUGACAAGGAUGGACGAAGCCCUCAGACAUGCAUAUGGUUAACACCUUGUAACCUUCUUAGAGGCAGCUAAACAAACGCCAUUU